GACGAACGCUGGCGGCGUGCUUAACACAUGCAAGUCGAACGGUAAGGCCCUUCGGGGUACACGAGUGGCGAACGGGUGAGUAACACGUGGGUGAUCUGCCCUGCACUUCGGGAUAAGCCUGGGAAACUGGGUCUAAUACCGGAUAGGACCCUGGGAUGCAUGUCCUGGGGUGGAAAGCUUUUGCGGUGUGGGAUGGGCCCGCGGCCUAUCAGCUUGUUGGUGGGGUGAUGGCCUACCAAGGCGACGACGGGUAGCCGGCCUGUGAGGGUGACCGGCCACACUGGGACUGAGAUACGGCCCAGACUCCUACGGGAGGCAGCAGUGGGGAAUAUUGCACGAUGGGCGCAAGCCUAAUGCAGCGACGCCGCGUGAGGGAUGACGGCCUUCGGGUUGUAAACCUCUUUCAGCACCGACGAAGCGCAAGUGACGGUAGGUGCAGAAGAAGGACCGGCCAACUACGUGCCAGCAGCCGCCGUAA
rnacentral:rRNA from 1 species